UACCCCAUAAAACAACUUAAAACUUACUUAAAACAUAUAAGGAGCUUAAGAUCGGCUCUUACCUCUUGAAGAUCGAGAGGGAGACGACCUAAACUUGGAGAUCCACGAAAAUGAGCUCCUGAGUUCCCAAAGCUCCAAAACUUGUUUCAAAAGUUCAAAACCUUCAAUGCAAGCUUAAAACUCAAGAAAAAUGGUGGGGAUUUGAAGGAAGAACAC
rnacentral:lncRNA from 1 species